rnacentral:lncRNA from 1 species
CAUUUUGGGUUAUUCAGGCAGUGGAUGGAACCAUUUUCCUUGGUGCAUCUAUAAGGUGAUUUCAAUGAAAAUUCUUUUAACAAAAUAAAAAAAAAAUUGGAUUAUAGUUUGACUACUAAGAUUCAGGAAAAGAAACAUGAAUUUGCUUUUACAUUGCAGAGUUCAAUAGAAUAUGCCUAUACGAUAGAUUCUAUAUGUAACAGAGUUACCCUAUCCAAGGGGGGCCUUCGGAAUAUAUGAAUAACUGUACUACUAUGAGUUCAAGGUUAUGCUGUAUAUCAUUUAUAUUAAUUUUUCCCUACUUUUGCAGUAAGGUCUCAGAUUUGACCUACAGCCUCGGUAUUACCAAGUAUUUGAACCUGAAUCUGCAAAAUGUGACAUGCAAAGCAGAUUGGUUGCCAGGAAACAUGGAUUUAUUCCAUAUCUCACCUCUUCCCUUUUUCCGGAGCAUGAGGCUUUCUCAACAUCUGUCCCUCCUUCGUGUUUUUCAUGGUGCAGUAGGUAACUUAAGAUCUGAUGCUACAGAAUGUUGAGUACUCACAACUUCCAUGGAAGUCAAUAGGAUGCCUGGGCGGCGUGUGAACCGC